rnacentral:lncRNA from 1 species
ACAAAGAGAAGGUUUUUUCAGUCCACAUUGGGCUUGAUGUCAAUUAGUUCUACAAGGGCUUUUGUACCCCAAAACUUCUCUGAUGUCUUAGCGAGACUAUUUGAUCUAAUGAAAAAAUGUCUCCUUAAAUAUUGUGCCUCUUCAAAUCAUGUCUUUUGAAAAAUACAUGCAUUGGUUAAGCCAUGUUUUAUUGAAUUUGGUGCAAAAAUAAUUGUUUUGAAUGAAGAGAAGGACCAUCCCCGUUAUUACUAUGCUGCCUUGGGCCUUCAAAAUGGACAACUCUUCACUCAGUGUUGAUACCUGUCUGCCAGACUGAAGGUUAUUCUGCAGCAAGCCCUCCUUUCUGCCAUCAAAAUUUUGCAAUAGAGAGCAUGACUUCCUCUUCUCAUAAGCAGCUCUCCCAGUAACAGCGCAACCCGCGCAGUGCUGUCGUACCGCGGGAAGCACGGAGCAGCGAGGAGCCUCUGCAGCUGCGAGCUGGCUCAGACCCACGCGUGACAUCCCACAGCAGACAUCUGUACCUCCUCGUCCUCCGUGCCUCCCAGUACCAGCAGUAUCAGGACGUCUUUCUUUCACAUCGAUCCCCACAGUCAUGCAUCUGAUUUCUGAGAGGGAACUAAUUCUGCCAGAAAAGUCAGGUCUGAGCACAGAAUAAAACCCCAAAGCAACCUGAGUUCAGUUCCCCCAGUCUGCCCCCUCAGCCACCACAGCCUAGCACAAGGAGGGAGUGCAGUGGGGCUAUUUGUGUGGGGUUUGGUCAGGGUACAGAGUGUGGUUUGGAGAUACUGGUAGUAUAAAACUACCCAUUUUUUAAGGCAAGAAGCAGAGCAAGAAGUAUUUUCAAAACCCCAAUGCUAAAGAACUGAGCUCUUUGAUAUAAUAUGACAAAGCUUUUGGCUUUCAAGAAAUACCAAAAAGCGUCUUUAAUCCCUGAACUUCUGAUACCCCAAUGAAAACUCACUCUGUAAUGCAGUCACAGCCAGAGUCUUUCUUCAUUCCCAGAGGCCUAGAUGCCAUUUUCAAGAAUUUAGGAAGAGUUUCAUAUUCUUGCUUUUUACAACUUAAAAUAGACUGAAGAGAAUUUUUUUCCUAAGUUUAAAAAAAAAAAGAAAGAAAACAAUCAUAGACUGAUAUUUCUUUUUUAUGCCAAGUUUCAGCCUGGAGAAAAUUUUAUGGCUGAGUUCUAAUCCACCCCAACCCUGGUUUAUAACAGAAAUGCUGACACAAUGAUAACUAUAGCGUUACAAAUGCUGGCGCUGUGAUAUUUAUUGCUCCCUAGUGCCAGCACGGGUUAAUCCUUAUUAAACGCAUUCAUUUUCUGGCCUUGUGGAGAGCAGAUCAUUUAGUGAUCCAGCAGAGUACGGGUCCCUGGUAGCGUUAAUGGAAGAUAUCACACAAGACAUAGUAAGUGAGGAGUCUUUAAGGGGGCUUCUGUAGGUGUUUCUCAGGAUUAAGUGGCCUUCUCUGGGGGCUUGAGUUCAAAUCC